rnacentral:rRNA from 1 species
AUGAACGCUAGCGACAGGCUUAACACAUGCAAGUCGAGGGGCAGCGGGGUGUAGCAAUACACCGCCGGCGACCGGCGCACGGGUGAGUAACGCGUAUGCAACUUGCCUAUCAGAGGGGGAUAACCCGGCGAAAGUCGGACUAAUACCGCAUGAAGCAGGGGCCCCGCAUGGGGAUAUUUGCUAAAGAUUCAUCGCUGAUAGAUAGGCAUGCGUUCCAUUAGGCAGUUGGCGGGGUAACGGCCCACCAAACCGACGAUGGAUAGGGGUUCUGAGAGGAAGGUCCCCCACAUUGGUACUGAGACACGGACCAAACUCCUACGGGAGGCAGCAGUGAGGAAUAUUGGUCAAUGGGCGCGAGCCUGAACCAGCCAAGUCGCGUGAGGGAUGAAGGUUCUAUGGAUCGUAAACCUCUUUUAUAAGGGAAUAAAGUGCGGGACGUGUCCCGUUUUGUAUGUACCUUAUGAAUAAGGAUCGGCUAACUCCGUGCCAGCAGCCGCGGUAAUACGGAGGAUCUGAGCGUUAUCCGGAUUUAUUGGGUUUAAAGGGUGCGUAGGCGGCCUUUUAAGUCAGCGGUGAAAGUCUGUGGCUCAACCAUAGAAUUGCCGUUGAAACUGGGGGGCUUGAGUAUGUUUGAGGCAGGCGGAAUGCGUGGUGUAGCGGUGAAAUGCUUAGAUAUCACGCAGAACCCCGAUUGCGAAGGCAGCCUGCCAAGCCAUGACUGACGCUGAUGCACGAAAGCGUGGGGAUCAAACAGGAUUAGAUACCCUGGUAGUCCACGCAGUAAACGAUGAUCACUAGCUGUUUGCGAUACAGUGUAAGCGGCACAGCGAAAGCGUUAAGUGAUCCACCUGGGGAGUACGCCGGCAACGGUGAAACUCAAAGGAAUUGACGGGGGCCCGCACAAGCGGAGGAACAUGUGGUUUAAUUCGAUGAUACGCGAGGAACCUUACCCGGGCUUGAAAGUUACUGACGAUUCUGGAAACAGGAUUUCCCUUCGGGGCAGGAAACUAGGUGCUGCAUGGUUGUCGUCAGCUCGUGCCGUGAGGUGUCGGCUUAAGUGCCAUAACGAGCGCAACCCUUGCCACUAGUUACUAACAGGUGAUGCUGAGGACUCUGGUGGGACUGCCAGCGUAAGCUGCGAGGAAGGCGGGGAUGACGUCAAAUCAGCACGGCCCUUACAUCCGGGGCGACACACGUGUUACAAUGGCGUGGACAAAGGGAGGCCACCUGGCGACAGGGAGCGAAUCCCCAAACCACGUCUCAGUUCGGAUCGGAGUCUGCAACCCGACUCCGUGAAGCUGGAUUCGCUAGUAAUCGCGCAUCAGCCAUGGCGCGGUGAAUACGUUCCCGGGCCUUGUACACACCGCCCGUCAAGCCAUGGGAGCCGGGGGUACCUGAAGUCCGUAACCGCGAGGAUCGGCCUAGGGUAAAACUAGUGACUGGGGCU